UACGGAGGGUGCGAGCGUUGUCCGGAGUUACUGGGCGUAAAGGGUGCGCAGGCGGCCUGGCGCGUCGCGAGUGAAAUCUCCUGGCUCAACUGGGAGGGUGGUCGCGAGACGGCUGGGCUUGAGGCUUGGUGAGGGGCGUGGAAUUCCGGGUGGAGCGGUGAAAUGCGUAGAGAUCCGGAGGAACACCGACGGCGUAGGCAGCGCCCUAGACGAGACCUGACGCUCAGGCACGAAAGCGCGGGGAGCGAACAGG
rnacentral:rRNA from 1 species